AAAUAGAUUUUCUUCUUCUUUUUAUUAAGUUUAGUGACAGAAUUUCUCAUUUUACGAUAAAGGUCCCAAUCACAUUUAUUUCCUGUAGUAACUGCUGUUCAUUUCAUUUGACCUCUUUAUUUUCAUAGAAUUUUUCAGUUCAUCAUCCAACCAAGGUGUGACGUUAUUCCUGACAGUAAACUUCUUUAAAGGCGCAUGUUUCUCAAUCAAAGACAAGAAUAGUUUGUUAAAUUUAAAGAGAGCAAUUUCCGGAUUACUAGCUACCAACACAUCAGACCAGCAUAUAGCUUGAACAUCUUCAAUAAACUUGUCAUUUUUAAACAAUUUAUAAGAUCUUUUAAAUAAGACUGCAGUUCCAGAUCCACUCAGCUUGGUUGUUAACACAGAAAUGAUCAGAUUAUGAUCACUGCUACCAAUGGGAAUAGAAAAUACCUUUUUACACAAUUCAGGUCGGUUUGUGAAAAUAUGAUCUAUACAGGUAGAUGUUCUGGAUCCGUCGCUCUUAAAACAUGUUCUUGUAGGCUUAUUUAUAAGUUGAGUAAGUCCACAUGCAUUUGCAGUGGUUAACAGUUUUUCUUUUCAAGUAGCAAUCUUUAGAAAACCAGUCAGUUAUUAAGUCACCCAUGAAAUAUAUGUCCUGACUUACAUUAGUAUUUAUAUCCAACAUUUUACAGAAAGUAUCAAGAUAUUCACAGUUGGCACUUGGCGACCGGUAACAGCAACACAGAAGUAUCGACUUUCGAAAUCCUAGCCUUGCCGAACCUGUUACAUGUUUGAUCCUGCUGUGCUGGACUUUAUAUGAUAAAUGAGCUCAACAAUGAACUGCCAAAGUUUGUCCUUUAAAUGAGGCCGAACUUAUUUCUGUGCUUCAAAACUUCAAAUUUUUAAUGAAAGUUUUUUUUGACUGACAUUUGUGUCCACUAAAUACCUCCAAAAACAGUGACCAGAAAUGUAAAUAAAAACGAAGUUGAUUCUCAGGUUUUCCUAACAAGCAACAAUGUUUUUUUAAAUAAUCCCAAAACCAUAACCAAUGAUUUUUUUAACACGACUUAACAAAAAAAGAAGCCCAAAUUAGUGUUAAACACGUGGUAAACAUUGACAAUGGAUUUUUCCUAAUUAUUUUCAGAUUUACAUGUGGUAAACAAAAGCUAUAGAAUAAUAUGAAAAUAUUGAGUAUAAUAAUAUGAAAUAAAUGUUUUAUGACCUUCGUUUGAUGUUAUGUGAUAUUUAUUGUGUAUUGUGUUCUGCUGUCUCACUCCUUAUAACAGAAAGAUCACAGCCAUCUCAGUUCUACAGACAUUAUCAGAGUUUUUUUUUUUUUUUUUUUUGUCAAUUUCACUUUGUCAGGGAAAAAAA